GAUGAAGAACGCAGCGAAGUGCGAUAAGUAGUGUGAAUUGCAGAAUUCCGUGAAUCAUCGAAUCUUUGAACGCACAUUGCGCCUCCUGGUAGUCCGGGAGGCAUGCCUGUUCGAGCGUCACCAAAUCCAACUCAAGCGGUUUUGCGCUUGGUCGUGGCGGAAGAGUCGGUCUGGUUGCCGUCUCCCCUCCGAAAAUCAACGGCGGAAAGUCACUGGCAGUCAGCGUAGUAGUAUCGUUCGCCGAACAUCCAGUGGCAUUCCUGCCGACGUACCCCCACAAUUCUCGUGAUUGACCUCGGAUCAGGUAGGGAUACCCGCUGAACUUAAGCAUAUCAAUAAGCGGAGGA
rnacentral:misc_RNA from 1 species